UGCAGUCGAGGGGUAUAGUAGCAAUACUAGAGACCGGCGCACGGGUGCGUAACGCGUAUGCAAUCUACCUUAUACAGAGGGAUAGCCCAGAGAAAUUUGGAUUAAUACCUCAUAGUGUUAUUGAAUGGCAUCAUUUAAUAACUAAAGUUCCAACGGUAUAAGAUGAGCAUGCGUCCUAUUAGCUAGAUGGUAAGGUAACGGCUUACCAUGGCUACGAUAGGUAGGGGUCCUGAGAGGGAGAUCCCCCACACUGGUACUGAGACACGGACCAGACUCCUACGGGAGGCAGCAGUGAGGAAUAUUGGACAAUGGGCGCAAGCCUGAUCCAGCCAUGCCGCGUGCAGGAAGAAGCAUCUAUGGUGUGUAAACUGCUUUUGUACGGGAAGAAACACUCCUACGUGUAGGAGCUUGACGGUACCGUAAGAAUAAGGAUCGGCUAACUCCGUGCCAGCAGCCGCGGUAAUACGGAGGAUCCAAGCGUUAUCCGGAAUCAUUGGGUUUAAAGGGUCCGUAGGCGGUUUAAUAAGUCAGUGGUGAAAUCUGGUCGCUCAACGAUCAAACGGCCAUUGAUACUGUUAGACUUGAAUUACUAGGAAGUAACUAGAAUAUGUAGUGUAGCGGUGAAAUGCUUAGAUAUUACAUGGAAUACCAAUUGCGAAGGCAGGUUACUACUAGUGGAUUGACGCUGAUGGACGAAAGCGUGGGGAGCGAACAGGAUUAGAUACCCUGGUAGUCCACGCCGUAAACGAUGGAUACUAGCUGUUGGGAGCAAUCUCAGUGGCUAAGCGAAAGUGAUAAGUAUCCCACCUGGGGAGUACGUUCGCAAGAAUGAAAC
rnacentral:rRNA from 1 species